UUAAAUAUGAAGAAGAAAAUAAUAGUUUCAUCCAAUGUGUAGUAAAGUAUAUAAAUCUAAUCUAUUAAAACAUGAGUACAAAAAUAAAGGGCAAAUCUCCAAAAUAGCACAUUUCUAAGUUUAUAUCACAAAAAUAGCACUCAAAAACUAAAAUGACCAAAAUAACACAUUUCUAAGUUUAUCCUUUGAAAAUUUUAAUUUUUUUAUUUUUCAAAAUUUGAAAUCUUAUCCCCAAAAACUCAUUUCUCAACUCUAAACCAUAAACCCUAAACUCUAAACCCUAAAUCCUAAACCCUAAACCCUAAACCCUAAUCCCUAAACCCUAAACCCUAAACUCUAAACUCUAAACCUUAAACCCUAAACCCUAAACUCUAAACCCUAAACCCUAAAUCCUAAACCC
rnacentral:lncRNA from 1 species